UACGUAGGGUGCGAGCGUUGUCCGGAAUUAUUGGGCGUAAAGAGCUCGUAGGCGGCCUGUCGCGUCGGAUGUGAAAGCCCGGGGCUCAACCCCGGGUCUGCAUUCGAUACGGGCAGGCUGGAGUGUGGCAGGGGAGAUCGGAAUUCCUGGUGUAGCGGUGAAAUGCGCAGAUAUCAGGAGGAACACCGGUGGCGAAGGCGGAUCUCUGGGCCAUUACUGACGCUGAGGAGCGAAAGCGUGGGGAGCGAACAGG
rnacentral:rRNA from 1 species